UGGCGAACGGGUGAGUAACGCGUGAGUAACCUGCCCUGGAGUGGGGGACAACAGUUGGAAACGACUGCUAAUACCGCAUAAGCCCACGGCCCGGCAUCGGGCUGCGGGAAAAGGAUUUAUUCGCUUCAGGAUGGACUCGCGUCCAAUUAGCUAGUUGGUGAGGUAACGGCCUACCAAGGCGACGAUUGGUAGCCGGACUGAGAGGUUGAACGGCCACAUUGGGACUGAGACACGGCCCAG
rnacentral:rRNA from 1 species